rnacentral:rRNA from 1 species
CCUACGGGUGGCAGCAGUGGGGAAUAUUGGGCAAUGGGCGCAAGCCUGACCCAGCAACGCCGCGUGAAGGAUGACGGUUUUCGGAUUGUAAACUUCUGUUGCGAGGGACGAAGAAUGACGGUACCUCGUAAGAAAGCCCCGGCUAACUACGUGCCAGCAGCCGCGGUAAUACGUAGGGGGCAAGCGUUGUCCGGAAUGACUGGGCGUAAGGGGAGUGUAGGCGGCUCAUGAAGUUAGAUGUGAAAUCCCGCGGCUUAACCGCGGAACUGCAUCUAAAACUGGUAAGCUGGAGUGCAGGAGAGGUGAGUGGAAUUCGUGGUGUAGCGGUGGAAUGCGUAGAUAUUAGGAAGAACACCAGUGGCGAAGGCGGAUUACUGGACGGUAACUGACGGUGAGGCGCGAAAGCGUGGGGAGCAAACAGGAUUAGAUACCCGAGUAGUC